AUUCCAUGAUGAGGGAACUUUCUUAAUAAUUCUUUGUACCUAUCCCAUGCAUCAUACAAGGACGCAUCAUCCAUUUGUUGGAAGGCAGUGAUCUCGUUCCUCAACUU
rnacentral:snoRNA from 1 species